rnacentral:rRNA from 1 species
UAUCUCUGUAGAGUCUGCAUAUCAAUAAGCGGAGGAAAAGAAACUAACUAGGAUUCCCUCAGUAACGGCGAGUGAAGCGGGAAGAGCUCAAAUUUGAAAUCUUCAAGGUUCUACCUUGACGAAUUGUAGUUUAAAGAAGUGUUUUCUGUUGGAGUUUUGGUAAAAGUUCUUUGGAAUAGGACAUCAUAGAGGGUGAGAAUCCCGUAUUUGACCAUUACUUCCAGCUUUGUGAUACACUUUCAAAGAGUCGGAUUGUUUGGGAAUGCAGUCCAAAAUGGGUGGUAAAUUUCAUCUAAAGCUAAAUAUUGGCGAGAGACCGAUAGCGAACAAGUACCGUGAGGGAAAGAUGAAAAGGAACUUUGAAUAGAGAGUUAAACAGUACGUGAAAUUGUCAAAAGGGAAGCGUUUGACACCAGUGUUGUUUUCUCGAAAAUCAAUUAAAAAAGGCUAGGAUUUUGUAUUGUAAUUGACCUUUAUCAGCUUUACUGCUACUCUUUUCUUGUCUUUUUUAAUGCACUUUUCGUUUAACAAGUCAACAUCAAUUUCUUUUGUUGUAAAAGAGGUCAUUGGAAGGUGGCUUUCACUUUCGGUGAAAGUGUUUAUAGCCUUUGGCCUCUGCAAUCGGAGAGAUUGAGGUCUGCAGCGUAGAUCCUUCGGGGCUAGAUACGUAGAUGCUAAGUUAUAGUUUUUUAUAGACAACUUGUUGACUAUAAUUAAUCAUGUAGCUUACUCGUUUGCGCUAUUUUACCUACGCUUAGGAUGUUGACGAUCAGCUGAGCGCG